UUUAGCAUCUGCCUUCAGCCCAGGGCGUGAUCCUGGAGACACGGGAUCGAGUCCCACAUCUUUCCUCUGUCUGUGUCUCUGCCUCUCUCUCUGUGUGUGUCUCUUAUGAAUAAAUAAAUGAAAUCUUAAAAAAAAAAAAAAAAAGAGGAACAUUGGAAACCAACCUAGGUCUUUCACACAGAGGGGAUUUAAUACAGGGAAUUGAUUUGACCAGUGACAAGAGGAGAGACAGAGAAGAUAAACAUGGCAACCAGGGGACCCAGGGAUUAUCCACCACAGGAAAUCACCACUGCCAGGCUGACAGCACAAAGGAUGGUGGUGCUCUGGAGCCUGGGCUUUUAGCUGGGCCCUGAGUGAGGACUGCCUGGAGGUUGUGAAACAGUGGAGGAGGGACCAUCCGGAAGGAGCUGGAACCACAGAAAAGGCACAGGGGCUGUGGGAGACACCACAGGAAACAGAGGGGGAACACCCUGGCUCUCCCUUCCUCUACCCACCGCCCCCUCAUCUUCUACCAGAGUUUCCUAUUGCCUGAACUGACCUGGAAGCCAGAGGCAAACGAGCCUGGAAACUGUCGAUCCCUGUGACACAGAGGAGCCCAGCGAAGGGCUGAGAUGGACUGAGAACAAGCUGGCAGUUCCUGAGCAGAAUAGGGGGGUCCUGAAGACUUUGGGGGGGGUGUGUGCACAUGUGCUUAGCAUAUUCAGGUGAAGUGUAGGCUUCCUGUCUCAAAUCUCAGCUCCAGGUAGCAGCUAUAUAGCAGACCAAGUCCUGACCUCCUCUGUGCCCCUGUGCAUUGGGGACAUCAAGGAUGUAAUAUUGACUUCCUGGGAUUUGCAAGGACUGAGCAAGUUAGUCCGAGUCAAGUACUUGGAGUGCUGCCUGGCACCGAGUCAGCCUUCAGUCUCAGUGCGUGUGCAUCCAGUUUGCUGCACGUGCUUCCACGGCACGUGCUCACCAUAUUUCAUUUCUCCAGGGAAGCCUGAGACCACGCCGAUCGUCUGUCCACUCUCAUUCGGGAUGGCAAGGAGUAGCGGCAGGUCUAGAGUCCAUGCUAAUGAGAGCAGAUUGAUUUUCCUAAAGCACCAUUUCCAUCAUGUUGCUCCUGGAUUGGAACCCUGCGAUGACGGCCCAUGACCCCCAGGAAAAAGGCCAAAUGCCACAUUUGGAGUGGUAGCAGCGUCCUCUCGGUCAGCCUUCAGGGCCCCCCUUUCCAACCUGACCUUUCUCCACCUCCCACGCGUGCUCUAAGUACAUUUGUUCAUCCAUUUAAUGCUUAGUAAGUGCCUACUGUAUACUGGGCCCUGCUAGGUUAUUAAGAUUUGAGCCUUGCUGUGGUUGGAAUGCUUGCGUCUCCCCCAAUUUGCAUGUUGAAAUCCUAUGCCCAAUGUAUGGUAUUAGGAGAUGGGGCGCUGGGGAAGUGUUUAGGUCAUGAGGGUUGAUCCCUCAUGAAUGAGACCCCAUAGAGCUCCCUCACUCCUUCUGUCAUAUGAGGUUAUAACCAGAUUGGCGUGCUACGACCAAGAAGAAGGCCAAAACCUGACCAUGCCGGCGCGCUGACCUUGGACUUCCAGCAUCCGAAACUGCUUAUAAGCCACCCAGUCUCUGGCAUUUUUGUUAUAAGAGCCUCAACAGACAAAGACAGGGUACAAAUAAAAAGACAACGUAGCAUGUAAUGUGCA
rnacentral:lncRNA from 12 species